CAUGCGGUUUCAAAGCUUACGGUCUGAACGGAGCCAUUCUGUGUGCAGGUGAAUUGCAGGCCGGAUGGCAGCUGGAAGCUAAUGAUUUGCAAUGAUAUCGGAAACUGCGGGAUGCAGGGACGAAGUUCUAUGAAGUAUUAUGUUCAUACUAAUUCAAUUAUCCAAAGAGAAUCGGGUAUCAUAGAGCACUCACCCAAAAAUGAUGCAACAAUUUGCGUACUGGUCAAAGAAUCGCAUAAUAAGGCUGUUGGUACCGAGUCACAUCAGCACAGCGAGGGUGCGAUCCUAGAACAAUCAAAAAAUAGACUUCCUUCACCAAUUAAAG